rnacentral:lncRNA from 1 species
AGGGAACAGUUUAAUUAACAUUGGACCAUUACAUGUUAAUUCGGAAAACGUUCAUUGGGAUGAGAUAAAAAACGGAUAAACAUUCAUCCGACGGUUAGCAUGCACCACGAUGCUUGCUUAUGCACACAAAUACAUAUUGACUGUUUCGACAUGCAAACAUCACAUUUCCAUGCGCAGGGAAAGACGUUGAACAGCGGAGGACACACGACAGUUUCAGUAGACAAUGGUUUUACAGUAACACCACAGCAGUAACGAUACACACACGCAUGAUACUGUAGCCCGCUAACUCUGGACGAACACAAAUCAGCAGCGGCCGGGUAACCAAGCAAUCUGCAUUAUUAUUCAGACUACAUUUUACUAUUUAAUCUCCGAUGAGAAUGGCCCUGCAUGCGUUGACAGGGACUCACAGCCCUAGACUCUGGGCUUGUAGGCCGGCGUCGACGACGGCUCCUCGUAGUCGGCGGUGGCCGCCUGGACGCCAGCGUAGUCCCCUUCCGCGCCGUGCUCGAGGAAGGCAGAUGGCGCCGGGGUCGGGGCGUAAGGUGUGGGCUCCGGAGCGGACGGAGUGUAUGGGGGCGGUGUUGGCGUGUGAGGCGUAGGGUGCCGGGGGCGAUGCUUGGGCGGAGACGGAGGACGCCUGGGUGACUUCUUCGUGUGGGCCAUGGUGAGCGGCGUCGGGGCGGGGUUGUGCCCGCCGUUCUCCGCCUGGGUCUCCAAGGCCAGGCUCAGGAAGAGCAGGGUCACAAGGAGAGCGGCUUUGCUACCCAUUCUCGCUAGGCGCUAGCUAGCUGCUCUCACUCCCUCACGUACUGCAAAGCUCUUGGAUCGGUGUGGUUCUG